rnacentral:rRNA from 1 species
UACGAAAGGUGCAAGCGUUACUCGGAAUUACUGGGCGUAAAGCGUGCGUAGGUGGUUUGUUAAGUCUGAUGUGAAAGCCCUGGGCUCAACCUGGGAAUUGCAUUGGAUACUGGCAGGCUAGAGUGCGGUAGAGGAUGGCGGAAUUCCCGGUGUAGCAGUGAAAUGCGUAGAGAUCGGGAGGAACAUCUGUGGCGAAGGCGGCCAUCUGGACCAGCACUGACACUGAGGCACGAAAGCGUGGGGAGCAAACAGG